ensembl:snRNA U6 U6 spliceosomal RNA
UCACUUUGGCAGCACAUACACUAAAAUUGGAACAAUACAGUGAAGAUUACUCUGGCCCCUGCACAAGAAUGGCAUGUAAAUUUGCAAAGUGUUCUUUAAAAAAUUUU